AAGAGAAGAGCCUAUCUAGUUAGCCAAAGGAGACUGCCUGAAGCCAACACAAGUUUUUAGAUAGUGCCUCGAAAACAAAGUCCAUUGGAGCAGGCAAGUCAUCCUUGGCUACUAAAUAAGGCUCUCAAUU
rfam:Punica granatum cultivar Dabenzi scaffold326, whole genome shotgun sequence.